GACGAACGCUGGCGGCGUGCUUAACACAUGCAAGUCGAACGGAAAGGCCCUGCUUUUGUGGGGUGCUCGAGUGGCGAACGGGUGAGUAACAAGUGAGUAACCUGCCCUUGACUUUGGGAUAACUUCAGGAAACUGGGGCUAAUACCGGAUAGGAGCUCCUGCUGCAUGGUGGGGGUUGGAAAGUUUCGGCGGUUGGGGAUGGACUCGCGGCUUAUCAGCUUGUUGGUGGGGUAGUGGCUUACCAAGGCUUUGACGGGUAGCCGGCCUGAGAGGGUGACCGGCCCAUUUGGACUUGAGAUACGGCCCGGACCCCGACGGGGGGCAGAAGGGGGGAAUAUUGGACAAGGGGCGGAAGCGUGAUGCAGCAACGCCGCUGGGGGGAGGACGGCCUUCGGUUUGUAAACCGCUUUGGCCUGUGAGGAGGCGGGGUGGGCGGUAAUGGGUAAGGGAGCCCCGGCUAAUUAGGU
rnacentral:rRNA from 1 species